rnacentral:rRNA from 1 species
ACACAUGCAGUCUAACGAUGAUCCCAGCUUGCUGGGGGAUUAGUGGCGAACGGGUGAGUAACACGUGAGUAACCUGCCCUUGACUCUGGGAUAAGCCUGGGAAACCGGGUCUAAUACUGGAUAUGACCUUCUGGCGCAUGCCAUGUUGGUGGAAAGCUUUAUUGCGGUUUUGGAUGGACUCGCGGCCUAUCAGCUUGUUGGUGGGGUAAUGGCCUACCAAGGCGACGACGGGUAGCCGGCCUGAGAGGGUGGACGGCCACACUGGGACUGAGACACGGCCCAGACUCCUACGGGAGGCAGCAGUGGGGAAUAUUGCACAAUGGGCGCAAGCCUGAUGCAGCGACGCCGCGUGGGGGAUGAAGGCCUUCGGGUUGUAAACCUCUUUCAGUAGGGAAGAAGCGAAAGUGACGGUACCUGCAGAAGAAGCGCCGGCUAACUACGUGCCAGCAGCCGCGGUAAUACGUAGGGCGCAAGCGUUAUCCGGAAUUAUUGGGCGUAAAGAGCUCGUAGGCGGUUUGUCGCGUCUGCCGUGAAAGUCCGGGGCUUAACCCCGGAUCUGCGGUGGGUACGGGCAGACUAGAGUGAUGUAGGGGAGACUGGAAUUCCUGGUGUAGCGGUGAAAUGCGCAGAUAUCAGGAGGAACACCGAUGGCGAA